GACAGAGGGUGCAACCGUUGUUCGGAAUUACUGGGCGUAAAGCGCGUGUAGGCGGCUCUGCAAGUCAGGUGUGAAAUCCCACGGCUCAACCAUGGAAGUGCACUUGAAACUGCAGGGCUAGAGUCCUGGAGAGGAAGGUGGAAUGCUUGGUGUAGAGGUGAAAUUCGUAGAUAUCAAGCGGAACACCGGUGGCGAAGGCGGCCUUCUGGACAGUGACUGACGCUGAGACGCGAAAGCGUGGGGAGCAAACAGG
rnacentral:rRNA from 1 species